rnacentral:rRNA from 1 species
GAUCAGUAGCCGGACUGAGAGGUUGAACGGCCACAUUGGGACUGAGAUACGGCCCAGACUCCUACGGGAGGCAGCAGUGGGGAAUAUUGGGCAAUGGGCGCAAGCCUGACCCAGCAACGCCGCGUGAAGGAAGAAGGCUUUCGGGUUGUAAACUUCUUUUAAGUGGGAAGAGCAGAAGACGGUACCACUUGAAUAAGCCACGGCUAACUACGUGCCAGCAGCCGCGGUAAUACGUAGGUGGCAAGCGUUGUCCGGAUUUACUGGGUGUAAAGGGCGUGCAGCCGGGUCUGCAAGUCAGAUGUGAAAUCCAUGGGCUCAACCCAUGAACUGCAUUUGAAACUGUAGAUCUUGAGUGUCGGAGGGGCAAUCGGAAUUCCUAGUGUAGCGGUGAAAUGCGUAGAUAUUAGGAGGAACACCAGUGGCGAAGGCGGAUUGCUGGACGAUAACUGACGGUGAGGCGCGAAAGUGUGGGGAGCAAACAGGAUUAGAUACCCUGGUAGUCCACACUGUAAACGAUGAAUACUAGGUGUGCGGGGACUGACCCCCUGCGUGCCGCAGUUAACACAAUAAGUAUUCCACCUGGGGAGUACGAUCGCAAGGUUGAAACUCAAAGGAAUUGACGGGGGCCCGCACAAGCGGUGGAUUAUGUGGUUUAAUUCGAAGCAACGCGAAGAACCUUACCAGGGUUUGACAUCCUGCUAACGAAGUAGAGAUACAUUAGGUGCCCUUCGGGGAAAGCAGAGACAGGUGGUGCAUGGUUGUCGUCAGCUCGUGUCGUGAGAUGUUGGGUUAAGUCCCGCAACGAGCGCAACCC